GACGAACGCUGGCGGCGUGCUUAACACAUGCAAGUCGAACGGAAAGGCCCUGCUUGCUGGGUACUCGAGCGGCGAACGGGUGAGUAAUACGUGGGUGUUUUGCCCUGCACUUCGGGUUACGUCCGGGAAACUGGGUUUAAUCCCGGUUCGGCGCGAUGUUUAGAGUGAUGGUUGGAAAGUUUUUUCGGUGUCGGAUGAGCUGGCGGCCUAUUAGCUUGUUGGUGGGGUAAUGGCCUACCAAGGCGGCGACGGGUAGCUGGCCAGAGAGGGUGGUCGGCCACAUUGGGACUGAGAGACGGCCCAGGCGCCGACGGUAGGCAGCAGGGGGGAAGAUUGCACAAGGGGCGCAGGCUUGGUGCAGCGGCUCCGCGGAUUGGAUGACGGCCUUCGGGUGGAGAACGCGUAGCACGAGGGACGAAGCUUGUUGUGACGUUACCUAGAUAAGAAGCACCGGCUAACUACGUG
rnacentral:rRNA from 1 species